rnacentral:rRNA from 1 species
UACGUAGGGUCCGAGCGUUGUCCGGAAUUAUUGGGCGUAAAGGGCUCGUCACGUCGGGAGUGAAAACUCGGGGCUUAACCCCGAGCCUGCUUCCGAUACGGGCAGACUAGAGGUAGGCAGGGGAGAGCGGAACUCCUGGUGUAGCGGUGGAAUGCGCAGAUAUCAGGAAGAACACCGGUGGCGAAGGCGGCUCUCUGGGCCUUACCUGACGCUGAGGAGCGAAAGCGUGGGUAGCGAACAGG